UUAAAGUUGUUGCAGUUAAAAAGCUCGUAGUUGAACCUUGGGCCUGGCUAGCCGGUCCGCCUCACCGCGUGUACUGGUCCGGCCGGGCCUUUCCUUCUGGGGAACCGCAUGCCCUUCACUGGGCGUGUUGGGGAACCAGGACUUUUACUUUGAAAAAAUUAGAGUGUUCAAAGCAGGCCUUUGCUCGAAUACAUUAGCAUGGAAUAAUA
rnacentral:rRNA from 1 species